GACGAACGCUGGCGGCGUGCCUAACACAUGCAAGUCGAACGGAGUUAAGACUUCGGUUUUAACUUAGUGGCGAACGGGUGAGUAACGCGUGAGAAACCUGCCUUUCAGUGGGGGACAACAGUUGGAAACGACUGCUAAUACCGCAUAAUGUUAUUUGGGGGCAUCCCUGAAUAACCAAAGAUUUAUUGCUGAAAGAUGGUCUCGCGUCUGAUUAGCUAGUUGGUGAGGUAACGGCUCACCAAGUCUGCGAUCCAUAGCCGGACUGAGAGGUUGAACGGCCACAUUGGAACUGAGAAACGGUCCAG
rnacentral:rRNA from 1 species